rnacentral:rRNA from 1 species
UACGUAGGUGGCAAGCGUUGUCCGGAAUUAUUGGGCGUAAAGCGCGCGCAGGCGGUCCUUUAAGUCUGAUGUGAAAGCCCACGGCUCAACCGUGGAGGGUCAUUGGAAACUGGGAGACUUGAGUGCAGAAGAGGAAAGUGGAAUUCCAUGUGUAGCGGUGAAAUGCGUAGAGAUAUGGAGGAACACCAGUGGCGAAGGCGACUUUCUGGUCUGUAACUGACACUGAGGCGCGAAAGCGUGGGGAGCAAACAGG